rnacentral:rRNA from 1 species
CCUACGGGAGGCAGCAGUAGGGAAUAUUGCUCAAUGGGGGAAACUCUGAAGCAGCAACGCCGCGUGGAGGAUGAAGGUUUUCGGAUUGUAAACUUCUUUUGUUAGAGAAGAUAAUGACGGUAUCUAACGAAUAAGCACCGGAUAACUCCGUGCCAGCAGCCGCGGUAAUACGGAGGGUGCAAGCGUUACUCGGAAUCACUGGGCGUAAAGCGUGCGUAGGCGGGUUAGCAAGUCAGAUGUGAAAUCCUAUGGCUUAACCGUAGAACUGCAUUUGAAACUGUUAUUCUAGAGUAUAGAAGAGGUAGGUGGAAUGCUUGGUGUAGGGGUAAAAUCCGUAGAGAUCAAGAGGAAUACUCAUUGCGAAGGCGACCUACUAGAACAUAACUGACGCUGAUGCGCGAAAGCGUGGGGAGCAAACAGGAUUAGAUACCCGAGUAGUC